GGACUGUGCAAAUUCAUUUGGCACGCUGUCUGAUUUGCCAUCUGGAUAACAUUUACAGAAGACGCGCAUGCAGCCAGUACUGCAGCAAGCAAAGAUAAGCAGCAGCCCCCGACACCUCAAUACGUACGUGUCACUACUAGUAUUAACCAUUCUUUCACCCGGCCACAAACCAGGAGAAAACAACCCCGACUAAUGACAACAUCAGAUGUAAAGCAGCAGGCCCUACCUUGCAUGUCGAAUGGAAGCGAUGGCGCUGCUGAACUCGCUGUCAAUGCUCCUGCAGUUGUAGAAUUCCUCGUAAGCUGGUCUGGUUGAGCCCUGGUACUCAAUACGGCUGAUGCGGCAGAUCCCCACAAUCAGGAUAAUCAACAUGAGGACGAACGCCACACAGAGAGCUCCGAUGAUGAUGUACAGGGAGUGACGGGGCAUGUUGGUCAGGGUGUCUGCUGUCCGUGCCGACUUCCAUUGAAGAUCUAAAACAAAACCCAUAGAAGUUUACUUUAAAUGUCAAUAAAUAUGUUCCCCACUG